UACGGAGGGUGCAAGCGUUAUCCGGAUUUACUGGGUUUAAAGGGUGCGUAGGUGGGUUGGUAAGUCAGUGGUGAAAUACUUUCGCUUAACGAAGGAACUGCCAUUGAUACUACCAGUCUUGAAUACAGUGGAGGUAGGCGGAAUGCGUCAUGUAGCGGUGAAAUGCUUAGAUAUGACAUAGAACACCAAUUGCGAAGGCAGCUCACUACGCGAAUAUUGACACUGAGGCACGAAAGCGUGGGGAUCAAACAGG
rnacentral:rRNA from 1 species